rnacentral:snRNA from 1 species
AUCGCUUCUCGGCCUUUUGGCUAAGAUCAAGUGUAGUCUUUCAGUGAAAACAGCAUGGUGUUUAAAGUAUAUUCUUGGGUAUAUUUCAUCAGCAUGAAGUGUAGAUUGACGUGUAUGAUCUCUGAGAGGAUCUUGAAGAAUUUUAGCUGUACAUUCGCACAUGGGAGAAAGGGAUGGGAUGAUUCUGAGCAUUGAUUUUCAUUAUUUUAUUUUAUUGAAAAAAAUUU